ensembl:snRNA U6 U6 spliceosomal RNA
AGGCUCACUUCAGCAGCACAUAUACUAAAAUUAAAACAAUAGAGAUUAGCAUGUCCCUUGCACAAAGAUGAUAUGCAAAUUCAUGAAGCAUCUCAUAUUUCA